GAUGAACGCUGGCGGCGUGCCUAAUACAUGCAAGUCGAGCGAACGGACGAGAAGCUUGCUUCUCUGAUGUUAGCGGCGGACGGGUGAGUAACACGUGGAUAACCUACCUAUAAGACUGGGAUAACUUCGGGAAACCGGAGCUAAUACCGGAUAAUAUUUUGAACCGCAUGGUUCAAAAGUGAAAGACGGUCUUGCUGUCACUUAUAGAUGGAUCCGCGCUGCAUUAGCUAGUUGGUAAGGUAACGGCUUACCAAGGCAACGAUGCAUAGCCGACCUGAGAGGGUGAUCGGCCACACUGGAACUGAGACACGGUCCAGACUCCUACGGGAGGCAGCAGUAGGGAAUCUUCCGCAAUGGGCGAAAGCCUGACGGAGCAACGCCGCGUGAGUGAUGAAGGUCUUCGGAUCGUAAAACUCUGUUAUUAGGGAAGAACAUAUGUGUAAGUAACUGUGCACAUCUUGACGGUACCUAAUCGGAAAGCCACGGCUAACUACGUGCCAGCAGCCGCGGUAAUACGUAGGUGGCAAGCGUUAUCCGGAAUUAUUGGGCGUAAAGCGCGCGUAGGCGGUUUUUUAAGUCUGAUGUGAAAGCCCACGGCUCAACCGUGGAGGGUCAUUGGAAACUGGAAAACUUGAGUGCAGAAGAGGAAAGUGGAAUUCCAUGUGUAGCGGUGAAAUGCGCAGAGAUAUGGAGGAACACCAGUGGCGAAGGCGACUUUCUGGUCUGUAACUGACGCUGAUGUGCGAAAGCGUGGGGAUCAAACAGGAUUAGAUACCCUGGUAGUCCACGCCGUAAACGAUGAGUGCUAAGUGUUAGGGGGUUUCCGCCCCUUAGUGCUGCAGCUAACGCAUUAAGCACUCCGCCUGGGGAGUACGACCGCAAGGUUGAAACUCAAAGGAAUUGACGGGGACCCGCACAAGCGGUGGAGCAUGUGGUUUAAUUCGAAGCAACGCGAAGAACCUUACCAAAUCUUGACAUCCUUUGACAACUCUAGAGAUAGAGCCUUCCCCUUCGGGGGACAAAGUGACAGGUGGUGCAUGGUUGUCGUCAGCUCGUGUCGUGAGAUGUUGGGUUAAGUCCCGCAACGAGCGCAACCCUUAAGCUUAGUUGCCAUCAUUAAGUUGGGCACUCUAAGUUGACUGCCGGUGACAAACCGGAGGAAGGUGGGGAUGACGUCAAAUCAUCAUGCCCCUUAUGAUUUGGGCUACACACGUGCUACAAUGGACAAUACAAAGGGCAGCGAAACCGCGAGGUCAAGCAAAUCCCAUAAAGUUGUUCUCAGUUCGGAUUGUAGUCUGCAACUCGACUACAUGAAGCUGGAAUCGCUAGUAAUCGUAGAUCAGCAUGCUACGGUGAAUACGUUCCCGGGUCU
rnacentral:rRNA from 1 species